rnacentral:rRNA from 1 species
GAACUAACAAGGAUUCCCUUAGUAACUGCGAGUGAAGUGGGAAAAGCUCAAAUUUGAAAUCUGGCAGUCAAUUCUGACUGUCCGAAUUGUAAUCUAGAGAAGUGUCAUCCGUACUGGACCAUGUACAAGUCUCCUGGAAAGGAGCAUCAUAGAGGGUGAUAAUCCCGUCUUUGACAUGGACUACCAGUGCAUUGUGUGAUGCACUCUCAAAGAGUCGAGUUGUUUGGGAAUGCAGCUCAAAAUGGGUGGUAAAUUCCAUCUAAAGCUAAAUACAGGCAAGAGACCGAUAGUGAACAAGUACCGUGAGGGAAAGAUGAAAAGAACUUUGGAAAGAGAGUUAAACAGUGCGUGAAAUUGCUGAAAGGGAAACGCUUGAAGUCAGUUACAUUGACUGGAAAUCAACCCUUGCUAUUGCAGUUGGGUGUAUUUUGCCAGUUAAUGGGCCAGCAUCAAUUUUGGCCAUUGGAUAAAGAUAUGGGGAAUGUAGCAUUUAUUUAUAAAUGCAUUAUAGCCUUGUAUUGUAUGCAAUGGUUGGGAUUGAGGAAUUCAGCACGCUUGAAAGGCUGGAGAGUAAUCUCACAUUCGUGCUUAGGAUGGCUGGCAUAAUGGCUUUAAUCGACCCGUCUUGAAACACGGACCAAGGAGUCUAACAUGCCUGCGAGUAUUUGGGUGGAAAACCCAUAUGCAUAAUGAAAGUGAAAGUUGAGAUCCCUCUCACAAGGGAGCACCGACGCCCAGACUUGAUGUUUUCUGACAGUUCUGCGGUAGAGCAUGUAUGUUGGGACCCGAAAGAUGGUGAACUAUGCCUGAAUAGGGUGAAGCCAGAGGAAACUCUGGUGGAGGCUCGUAGCGAUUCUGACGUGCAAAUCGAUCGUCAAAUUUGGGUAUAGGGGCGAAAGACUAAUCGAACCAUCUAGUAGCUGGUC